rnacentral:rRNA from 1 species
UGCAAGUCGAGCGGACCGACGGGAGCUUGCUCCCUUAGGUCAGCGGCGGACGGGUGAGUAACACGUGGGUAACCUGCCUGUAAGACUGGGAUAACUCCGGGAAACCGGGGCUAAUACCGGAUGCUUGAUUGAACCGCAUGGUUCAAUCAUAAAAGGUGGCUUUUAGCUACCACUUACAGAUGGACCCGCGGCGCAUUAGCUAGUUGGUGAGGUAACGGCUCACCAAGGCGACGAUGCGUAGCCGACCUGAGAGGGUGAUCGGCCACACUGGGACUGAGACACGGCCCAGACUCCUACGGGAGGCAGCAGUAGGGAAUCUUCCGCAAUGGACGAAAGUCUGACGGAGCAACGCCGCGUGAGUGAUGAAGGUUUUCGGAUCGUAAAACUCUGUUGUUAGGGAAGAACAAGUACCGUUCGAAUAGGGCGGUACCUUGACGGUACCUAACCAGAAAGCCACGGCUAACUACGUGCCAGCAGCCGCGGUAAUACGUAGGUGGCAAGCGUUGUCCGGAAUUAUUGGGCGUAAAGCGCGCGCAGGCGGUUUCUUAAGUCUGAUGUGAAAGCCCCCGGCUCAACCGGGGAGGGUCAUUGGAAACUGGGGAACUUGAGUGCAGAAGAGGAGAGUGGAAUUCCACGUGUAGCGGUGAAAUGCGUAGAGAUGUGGAGGAACACCAGUGGCGAAGGCGACUCUCUGGUCUGUAACUGACGCUGAGGCGCG